rnacentral:rRNA from 1 species
UGGAAUGAUGGAAGAGGGCCUCGUCUACGUCUGUCGGUCUCCGUCUACGGCGAGGCAAUGAUCGAAGGGAGCGGUCGGGGCCACUCGUAUUGCGACGUUAGAGGUGAAAUUCUUGGAUCGUCGUAAGACGCCCUACAGCGAAAGCAUUUGCCAAGUAUGUUUUCAUUAAUCAAGAACGAAAGUCAGAGGUUCGAAGACGAUCAGAUACCGUCGUAGUUCUGACCGUAAACUAUGCCAACUGGCAGCCCGUCGGCGUUGCUCUAUUCGACUCGGCGGGAGGCCUACCCGAAAGGAAAGUCUACGGGUUCCAGGGGAAGUAUGGUUGCAAAGCUGAAACUUAAAGGAAUUGACGGAAGGGCACCACCAGGAGUGGAGCCUGCGGCUUAAUUUGACCCAACACGGGAAAACUCACCUGGUCCGGACACUGGAAGGAUUGACAGAUUGAAAGCUCUUUCUUGAUUCAGUGGGUGGUGGUGCAUGGCCGUUCUUAGUUGGUGGAGUGAUUUGUCUGGUUAAUUCCGAUAACGAACGAGACUCUAGCCUGCUAACUAGUUCGCCGACAGCUCGUUGUCGCGCGGCGCCAUUUCGGUGGCAAACUUCUUAGAGGGACAGGUGGCGUAUAGCCACACGAAGUAGAGCAAUAACAGGUCUGUGAUGCCCUUAGAUGUCCAGGGCCGCACGCGCGCUACACUGAAAGAAUCAACGUGGAUGCCCACCUGCUCCGAGAGGAGUGGGAAACCCGAUGAAUCUCUUUCGUGAUGGGGAUUGGGGCUUGUAAUUAUUCCCCAUGAACGAGGAAUUCCCAGUAAGCGUCAGUCAUCAGCUGGCGUUGAUUACGUCCCUGCCCUUUGUACACACCGCCCGUCGCUACUACCGAUCGAACGGUCCGGUGAGGUCCUCGGAUCUGGCCGACGACGCCGCCGGGCUGCGCGCUUGCCGUGUACGCCUCGGCGUUCGAUGCCUGGAGAAGACGACC